AUGAAGAUUAGGUUUGGGGUUUUCCAUUAUCCCUAGGAUGCUCACUAUCUUACCUUGCUUUAGUAUAUCUUUGCAUUUCUAUUGAUGUCUUUAUAUGGUAUACAGUGUACUAUAGUAAAUCUUGUUUUAUAAACAGUACAUUCAUUUUGUUUGAUACUCCUAUAAAGACACUUGUUAUGAAAUGAAACAAUAGUUUUCUGUUUUCUUGACUAUAUGUGUUGUAGAUUUUUGAUGAUGAUAAAAAAGGAGAG
rnacentral:lncRNA from 1 species